CUUCGGGAAACCGUAGCUAAUACCGGAUAAUAUUUUGAACCGCAUGGUUCAAAAGUGAAAGACGGUCUUGCUGUCACUUAUAGAUGGAUCCGCGCUGCAUUAGCUAGUUGGUAAGGUAACGGCUUACCAAGGCAACGAUGCAUAGCCGACCUGAGAGGGUGAUCGGCCACACUGGAACUGAGACACGGUCCAG
rnacentral:rRNA from 1 species